UUUAUUUCAUUGGUGUGAGACACCUACGCUUGGAUAUUAUUCUAAGCUACUACAGAUGACCAUCAGGGUCAUUUUAUAUUCUGGAUGCAGAAGCCACUAUAAAUCAAGUCAUUACCAAUCUCAAGUCUUCAUAACUAUAUUACUUGCUUUAGAAAUCAAGAAACAUGGGCAACGGGGGGAGUAAGAACGGAGGAGGAGGAGGAGGCAAAGGAGGUGGUGGAGGUGGAGGCGGAGGCAAAGGAGGAGGAGGAGGUGGUGGCCGAAGGGUCACAAGAGAAGGCAGGGGCGGAGCAUCUCCUGUUACUGAUGGUUCCGUCUCAGUGGUGAAUACGGGCGAAUAAUAUGAUAUGGAGGCUUUUAGUUAAAAGUGAUAGCGUGUGCUUUGCUUUUAGCAAUAUGGGAUACAAAUAAGAGAGAGGAUCAUAGUUUGUUGCUAGAUCUUUUCUAAGGUGUGGUGUUCUUCUUUCACAAGUUUUAUUUGGAUGUUGUACGUGAUGGUAUUAAAUAUAUGUUUGAUUGUUUGUGUCGUUCUUUAUA